UACGUAGGGUGCAAGCGUUGUCCGGAAUUAUUGGGCGUAAAGAGCUCGUAGGCGGUUUGUUGCGUCGGCUGUGAAAUCCCGAGGCUCAACCUCGGGUCUGCAGUCGAUACGAGCAAACUAGAGUGUUGCAGGGGAGACUGGAAUUCCUGGUGUAGCGGUGAAAUGCGCAGAUAUCAGGAGGAACACCGGUGGCGAAGGCGGGUCUCUGGGCCGAUACUGACGCUGAGGAGCGAAAGCGUAGGGAGCGAACAGG
rnacentral:rRNA from 1 species